UACAGAGGGGGCGAGCGUUGUUCGGAAUUAUUGGGCGUAAAGGGCGCGUAGGCGGUGCGGUAAGUCAUGUGUGAAAUCUCCUGGCUCAACUGGGAGCUUGCAGGCGAAACUGCCGUGCUGGAGUGUGGGAGAGGUGAGUGGAAUUCCCGGUGUAGCGGUGAAAUGCGUAGAUAUCGGGAGGAACGCCUGUGGCGAAAGCGGCUCACUGGACCACAACUGACGCUGAGGCGCGAAAGCUAGGGGAGCAAACAGG
rnacentral:rRNA from 1 species